rnacentral:rRNA from 1 species
GUACGGGGGGCAGCAGUGGGGAAUGUUGCACAAUGGGCGAAAGCCUGAUGCAGCAACGCCGCGUGAGCGAUGAAGGCCUUCGGGUCGUAAAGCUCUGUCCUCAAGGAAGAUAAUGACGGUACUUGAGGAGGAAGCCCCGGCUAACUACGUGCCAGCAGCCGCGGUAAUACGUAGGGGGCUAGCGUUAUCCGGAAUUACUGGGCGUAAAGGGUGCGUAGGUGGUUUCUUAAGUCAGAGGUGAAAGGCUACGGCUCAACCGUAGUAAGCCUUUGAAACUGGGGAACUUGAGUGCAGGAGAGGAGAGUGGAAUUCCUAGUGUAGCGGUGAAAUGCGUAGAUAUUAGGAGGAACACCAGUUGCGAAGGCGGCUCUCUGGACUGUAACGGACACUGAGGCACGAAAGCGUGGGGAGCAAACAGGAUUAGAUACCCCUGUAGUCCG